rnacentral:lncRNA from 1 species
AGACGAUAUCUUAGCAGUCUGGGAGGAUGAGAAUAAAAUUGCUGACCUUGAAGGUGCCUUCGCACUGCCGGAGUGUGGGUUGAAGUUGAGUGGAGCGCAGAUGAGCCAAGAAGGUGUGGGUUUCCUCGACAUAGACAUCCAUCUGGGGAGAGCCGAGCUGUCAACAGCCGUAUGUGGGAGGCCGCAAUGCCAACCGAUAGUUGUGCCGAAUUGGUCACCGGACCCGGUAUCAUUUAAGAAAGCGGCCUUUGGAGCCUUCUUUGGGCGUGCUUGCAUAUAUUGUACAGAGCGGGGUGGCCUAGAGAAUGAGCUUGGGCACAUUUGCCAAAUUGGGAGGCGGC